rnacentral:sRNA from 1 species
CUUUUUUAGCUUUCACGCUUGAAGAACUGGAGAAGGGCAAUGGCAAUACGGUCCUACGAGCUUCCUACAAAUAUCUGGUAGUACUGGUAACAAUGAUUGGUACAGUUGUGUUCUGGUGAAACCUACUUACCAAGCCAUUCUAAUAACGUCUAAACAAAAAUUACAUGGUCAUAUUUUUCUUUUUAAUUCCUUUAUAAUCUUCAAUCUCACAUUACUUUAUGUAUUUUCUACUGAAUUCAUUUUUGUUUUAGUAUAUUUAUAAUUAAUUAUUGCAUAAUCAUUUUGAUAUAUAAUCGUUUUGAUAUAUAUAUAUAUAGUAUGCAAACUCAAUAAAAUGUCUUUUCAAUCCAUUACCAGGGGGGUUUGGGGGUAUUUUUUCCUCCCCCUCCCCCCACAAUAAAAUCAUAUUUGUGUGUGUGCGUGUGUAUGUGUACAUAAUUAAUCCCUUCAUUCUUUCGGAAGACGUUUAUUGUACCCUAGUAUAGGUUCUUCGUGGAGUUAGAGGGAAAAUUGUAGACUUUCCACCAUCGUAAGCAAGGGUCUGGGGGAGCGCUGUGAGCAGAGCCCCGCCGCCCGGCACUAUUUCCUGUAUUAAAAUGCAUAUUCUGAGGUACCUACAGUGCAUUAUCCUGCUAUUAAAAAGUUUUAUUUCAAAAAC